rnacentral:rRNA from 1 species
AUGAACGCUGGCGGCGUGCCUAAUACCUGCAAGUCGAGCGAACAGACGAGGAGCUUGCUCCUCUGACGUUAGCGGCGGACGGGUGAGUAACACGUGGAUAACCUACCUAUAAGACUGGGAUAACUUCGGGAAACCGGAGCUAAUACCGGAUAAUAUAUUGAACCGCAUGGUUCAAUAGUGAAAGACGGUUUUGCUGUCACUUAUAUAUGGAUCCGCGCCGCAUUAGCUAGUUGGUAAGGUAACGGCUUACCAAGGCAACGAUGCGUAGCCGACCUGAGAGGGUGAUCGGCCACACUGGAACUGAGACACGGUCCAGACUCCUACGGGAGGCAGCAGUAGGGAAUCUUCCGCAAUGGGCGAAAGCCUGACGGAGCAACGCCGCGUGAGUGAUGAAGGUCUUCGGAUCGUAAAACUCUGUUAUUAGGGAAGAACAAAUGUGUAAGUAACUAUGCACGUCUUGACGGUACCUAAUCAGAAAGCCACGGCUAACUACGUG